AUUCACAAGUAGUUAACCAGC
rnacentral:piRNA from 1 species